rnacentral:tRNA from 1 species
GGAGAGUACAGCUCAGUGGUAGAGUGCAUGCUUAACAUGCAUGAGGUCCUAGGUUCAAUCCCCAGUACCUCCU